GGGCAUUUCGUCUAGUGGUAUGAUUCUCGCUUUGGGUGUGAGAGGUCCCAAUUUCAAUUCUCGGAAUGCCCC
rnacentral:tRNA from 1 species